GAAGCCUCAUUAAAAUCUUUCCUGGGUUAAAGCACAGCUGUCAAGAAAGAAGAAGAAAUCAGCUAUGCAGAAGCAAGCUCCUCUUUAAUUUGCUCAGAUACUGUUGGGAGGUGAAAAAUGCAUGAGAAAAGACAAGGAAAGAGAAGAAAACUUCACUGAUGUCAGGGAUACCACUGCUUGAACUUUGCUGUUUGCCUGGAUAAGGGGUGCCACGCUCUGGACACCAAGGAAAGUCCCCUGGAAAACAAGAAAGCCUGUUUAACUGAAGCCUUUCCUGUUAAAAAUAUGCUUUCUGAUUGAUGUUUGUCAGUGGGAAGAAAGCUUCCUUUGAACACUCUUAUCCUGCUCUGAUCCUGCAGAUGUCUCUUAAUAUACUCCUGAUUCACCAAGAACAAGAAAAGGAGAAGCAUAAACAACCUCUGAACACCACUGUACUCAGAGAGCAGAUUUCUUACUCUGUGGUAACUGGUUUGUACCACAGGCUUUCAAAUCUAGGGUGUUUUCCAUGCAUUUCUUUUGCAUGACUGUCAUGAACUGACCCCAUUUUUAUUCUGGGGACUGUUCCUCCACAGCUGUUGAGUCAGCACUACUGUAGUAGUAGUACCCAUGUCUGCUGUCUAUGUCACUGUGUAAUACAUUACUUGCCACGGAACUCACAAGGCAAUGCUUUCACCAAUAAGCAGCUAAUUGCCUGGAAUGCAAUUGGAAACUUCUUUAAAUUCAAACAAUUAAAUUCAAACAAAAAUUGUAUGUUCUCAGAGAAAAAAUUUCAUGAGAGGAAACCACUUUGAGGCUCUUUAGAUAUGUAUAGAGAUAUUGCUCUAGUAACCUUAUGGAGGAUUGAACCCAAAUUGCGGUGCAGACUCAGAGAUGCAAAGACUUGCUAAAUAAAUCAGAGGCUGGAUUUAUCUGCUCA
rnacentral:lncRNA from 1 species